rnacentral:rRNA from 1 species
AUAAGCAAAAGAAGGGCAGACGGUGGAUGCCUUGGCUCUAAGAGGCGAUGAAGGACGUGAUAAGCUGCGAAA